UACGUAGGGUGCAAGCGUUAAUCGGAAUUACUGGGCGUAAAGCGUGCGCAGGCGGCUAUGCAAGACAGAUGUGAAAUCCCCCGAGCUCAACCUGGGAACUGCGUUUGAAACUACAGGACUAGAAUAUGUCAGAGGGGGGUAGAAUUCCACGUGUAGCAGUGAAAUGCGUAGAGAUGUGGAGGAAUACCAAUGGCGAAGGCAGCCCCCUGGGAUAAUAUUGACGCUCAUGCCACGAAAGCGUGGGGAGCAAACAGG
rnacentral:rRNA from 1 species